ACAUCGACCCAACUUCCUAUCAGCCAAUAACGUUGAUUGUAGGCCAAUUAUGGAGGUAUGCAGCUGGUCGUCACAUACAGGACACUUACAAUCACACCAUCCGAAGCGGGUAACUGCCAUCCGGCACGAUCCGUUGUAAUUACACCGCGCACACGUAUCGCGCCUUCAUCCAUUAUCCUUUCCCAAUGGCCAAUGCCAGUCCCCGGAAGAUUACCCCGUUUUGGACAAAAAGACCACCGAGCGCGGGAAAAACCUUCGAUAGGUGGUCGGUCGGAACAUGUCCUCUUAUCGUUAUUGGACCCCUUUAAAAGAUGUCAAUAGAUGUCGACUGCUUAAUACGCUCGUUUCGGUUCCCGGUCCCAUCAUCAGCGAUCAUCAUCAGCGCCGUGCACACAGAAGAUAUCUUCAGUUAAUCUUUGAUGGUAACGACCGUCACGGUGGUAACACAGCAGAACAGCGCCAGAUGUAAGAUUUGGGUCCGAAGAUAAAACUGCAAAUGGUAGUAGGUAUUGUUGUCUUAUCGUGUCUAGCCGGCGACUGUCACACAGGCGAUUUUGGGACAAUUGAUUUCGUUGCAUUAAUUAUUUCUGCAUACUGGCAUUGUGCUCUAAGUGCAAGAGAACAAGGAAGCGGCUAUUCUUAGCUAAAGCUCCUCUUUACAGAUUCUUAACAUUCGUUUCGCAGAAUUUUAUUUGACAAUAGAUGAAUUCAAAGUUGCUUCAAUU